GCUGGGUAUGGUGGCGCACGCCUGUAAUCUCAGCUACUCGGGAGGCUGAGGCAGGAGAAUUGCUUGAACCCGGGAGGUGGAGGUUGCAGUGAGCCAAGAUUGCGCCACUGCACUCCAGCCUGGGUGACAGAGCAAGACUCUGUCUCAA
rnacentral:SRP_RNA from 2 species